CCUUCAAAGGUGUGUGAAGCUCGGACCAAUCGGCGAGCGGCGGUCACGCGUGAUCAGCGGCUGCCCGGCAGCGUGGAGAAGGAGUCAUUCCUGCGUGUACAGAAACCGGUAGCGUGUCCCAGCGCAGCUCUUGGGUUGUUUUAAUAUCUAUGUGAAAUCCAUGGAAUAGGUCAUCCAGCAGUGUGAGGUGAAGUAUCAGUUUGUCACUGGUAUCCAGUUGUAUACUGCCACCUACGUAGACCUGGCCGUCGACGUAACAAAGAUUGUUAUAUUUUCCUGGAAGCUGUAAGGAACUGAUGGGACAUAACCAGCUUAAAUUAUCUUAGCUGGAUGGAUUACAAUUCAUACAGCUAUAUCUGGAACAACUUUCUUUUUGGCUUCAGUAUCGGCUCUGGAUGGGAUUGAAUUUUACAAGAGGUCUUCAACUUAUCUGUGCCUUCAAUGCCUUCAACAAUGGCAGAGCUUCUUAGAUACUGCCUUCACUGGAAAAGUUGGGAUGCAGUCAAGAUGGAUGUGCUUUGAAAAUAAGCCAUGUUCAACUGUGUCGCACAGUCAAACAUCAGGAGUUGGCCAAAGGAAUUGUUUUAUGAUGUUUUGUAUUAGGUCAUAAAAUGUUUUAUGAUAAUUUUAUGCCAAUUUUUAUAUAAAUUUGCCAAAUUUCAAUUCCAUGGGAGUCAUGGAUUUUGGAUUUCAGAUGCAUUCUAUAAGUUAGCCCAUUUUGAGGUACCUUGAUUCAAAGACUUUUGUCAUAUGAUGCACUAUUUCAUCCAGUUAAAGGUUACAGGAACAAGAGUUUUAGUAGUAUGUAAAAGAUAGAUACGGUAAAUGAAGGAACAAAAGAAGUCGAGAAAUAUUCAUGAUGCCUAUGGACAGCAGACACCAGCAAGACCACCAGGCUUUCUGCAUCACUUGAGUAUAAGCUAGCAUGCUGCGAAGCAAAGUGCCAUUAUUAGUACCAUGAUUACAAAUAUAGCAAUAAUUAUUACCAUCAUUAUUUACAAAUGAUGGAGACUAUUGAUAUGUUUUUAAAUGAUCACUAGUUUCAGUCCAUACAUCCGUCUCUAGAAAAAAGGUAAGUUAGUUGUAAUAUCCUGUGGAGAUAAAAGGGACAACAAUAAGAUCCCUGCUAGACGUGGUAUAUUCCCAUAUAAUGAAACAUUCUGAGUCCCAUAGUGUUUUAAAAAUUAUUAUUAAAUUUAUAUCCUUUUAUUUUGUGCAUCUCAAGAUGGCAUGUAUAGUGCACCCAUUUCCUCUUUCUCCCACAACAACAACCCUGUGAAGUAGAUUGAGCUGAGAGCCUGACUGGUCCAAAAACAUCCAGCUAACAUUUAUGUUUAACGCAGAACUAGAGCCUGUGGUCUCCAAGUUUCUAGUCCAAUGCUUUAAUCACUGCACCAUAUUGGCAUUCUUUGAUCAACUGGAUGAAUUUGGGAACAUUGUGGUCUUGGAUGGAUGGAAAAAGCAUCUUUCAACUGUCAUUUCCCAACAACCAAUGUAUAAACAGGCAUGCUACUUAUGAUUAAAAUGAUAUUAAAUGUCCAUUGUUACUGCACUGUGUGAAAAUGUAUGCCCUUCUGUUGGCUCUAAAUCUUUGAUUAUUUAGCAUAGUAGAUUAUCUUAACAGUAUUUCUAAGAGAUUUUUAAAAAUUAUCUGUAUUCAUGUUGUCUAUGCCGUUCAUGAUGAUUUUUAUACCUCUCUUAUGUUUUUCUUUAUGGUCCUUCAUUUUAAUGUGAAGAACCCCAGUUAUAGUUUCACCUCAAAUCUGACCUGCUCCAGGCCUUUAAUAAUUUUGGUUUCCCUGAUUUUUCACCUUUUCCAACUUGGUAAUAUUCUUCUAAGGUGUAAUGGCAAAAAUUGUACAUAAACUUCCAGAUGGUCUUAUCUUAUUUUUAUAUUAGUGUGUUCUGUUUUCUGUUUCCUUCUUACUUAUUCCAAGCAUAGAAUUUGCUUUUUAUAGCAGUUGCACACUAGAGUCACAUUUCCAUCAAAUCAUACACUGUAAUUCCUUUUCCUAGUUUGUCAUUAUUGAGUAAGUCUCCUAAUUUUUGUGUGCAGUGUUUGUACCAUCACGGUUUCUUUUAAUUUAAUAGUGAAUUAUAUUUUUCAUUUUGAAAUCUAUUAAUCCAUUUUGAAGAGACUCUUUGGAGCACUCCACAAAUAGUGGCCUUCAGCCUGCUGUCCACAACAAGCAUGUGAAAUAGCCAGAGCCUACUGGUGCACACAGCUAUGACCCUGGACUCCCAACUUUCUCUAAAAUCAAUCUGCAUCCCUCAGUUGUAGGGGUAGACCAGUCUAAUAGGCUCUAUAGAAUCCCAUUGAAAUCAGGAUGCAAUCUGACAUUUCCUGUGGUGCAUCUCCCGUGAAAGCUGUAAGAGACCUAAAUCUUAAGGGUCCACAUGAAGUGCAGCUAAAUGAAAUUACAGAAAAAAUAGCUGUUGUUACUCUUAAUGAGCAACAUAAAAAUGCAGAAAUUCUCAGUAUCUUAACAAUAAUCCACCUUUUCUAUAUUUAUUCCGUUCUUCUCAAAACCUAAAUAAAAUAUACCCAGAUAAAUCUUUUUAUUGAUUAUCAUUAGCUAACUGUAUUAGUCCCUUAUUUAUGGCCUGUGUAAACAUUUAUGUACAUUUCUCUCUUAGGUGCAAAAUGCAUUUUCUUUAUGUGUAUAAUUGUAGAAGAAGAACAGGCAGAGCUGAGGGAUGGAGUUAAAUGUGUCAUCAGUUUAAGAGUCCUUAUGUUGCCACAAACGUUCUCUGCCAGACUCCCUUAAAUUCCGUUCACUCUUAUUUGGCCAAUUCAGAUUUGAACUUUAGUUGAAUAGAUUCUUGUGCAUAGGCUUGAAAUAAUAAAUCUUUUAUGUGCAACUAUGCAAAACAAUAAAGCUACCAAGCAAAUUGUUAAAGAUCCAUGAAUCAACCAAUAGGAAAGGAGGAUUUUUUAUUUUCAUGUGGCAACUGUAAGGUUAGAUUACAAGAAUUAAGUCAUGUAGUUAGGUAAACAAGAUUUCAUAUCCCAGGGACAUGAUGCAGCUAAAAUGUAAGUGAUAAUAUAGCUUGAUAAUACAGGAAUAUAUACAAUUUUCAACCAUUAUUGAAAAUCUGUAUUGUGUUGAUUAUAAGCAGGGCUUUUUUUCUCAUAGAACGCCCAGAAUGGAGUCCCGGCACCUUUUUUGGAUGAAACCUUGUAGAGUAUGUAAGGCGGGUUGUAUGACGUAUGUGAGUUCCGGCACUUUUUUUUUUUUUUUUUAGAAAAAAAAGCACUGAUUAUAAGUAUUUCUUUGCCUCUAAGCUCAAACUGAUUCCUGACAGAUUAGUUUUUUUAAAAUAAAAAUGUGAAAGAUGAGUAGGACAAUGGGAUAACUCACCAAAUCUUACAAUGGUUAUAUACAUUCUACAUUGCUGACAUUACAAAACACUGGCUUUUUAUUUUAACCACAGGUUUCAAGUGCUUUGAGUCAAUGGCCUAUUUGGAAUUUUAAGAGUAUGUUAUGAGCGAUCUAAAGCGAUCACACCUUCCAUGUCAAGUCAUCGCCAAAUAUCCAUUGACCAGAAGGGAAGUGCUGGAUGGUGUAGCCGCCCACCAUUUGCUCUUCUAAGAAGGCUUCUGUGCUCUAUUGAGACAUACAUGUUAUACUUGAGGCUAAUGUUUUGCUUUGACAGCAUACUAAAUUUCUACUCAUUUUUCUAUUAGAAGAGUCUUUAAGAAAUAAAUGGGUCAGGGAGUUUGACAGGUGCCAAUAAUGGACACAUUGUUAUCCUCCGGGAGGAGAGGGGAAAAAGACAAGACCACAAAAAUGAAACAACUUUUAUCUACCCUCCUAUAGUAGUACUAAAUCUUAAUGGACUCAGGUUCCUUUUAAGAAGACAUAAAUAGUAUUAAAUUGUGAACUUAAACUGAUCAGAUAAAAGAGGCAUAAAAGUUUUAUAAUAAGCUAAAAAAACCAUACAUAAAUGGAAUUGCAAACCCAGAGGAAAAUGGUAACUUAAGCUUCAUCCAAACAAAUGACUCAACAAUUCAGAAAUGUAACUCAACUCAGAUUUCUAAUAAACCAUUCGGCAAUUCAAAUAAGCAUACAUGGGAACCCACUUCCCUACUGUUAUGCACCCCAGUAAUGGUAGGGGCUACUUUGGGCUGUUGUUAGGAUGCCCUGUCUUCUUCAGUUGCUCAUAACUUCCCUCUGUGCAGUAUGGCCAUUUUGACUUUCACAGUAGAAAAGAUCAGACACUUAAGUAUCUGCCUAUGUAAUGCCUGCCCUGUGCUUUGCAAAGUGUUGACAAGCAUCCUGUAAAAUCCUCAUCUGCAUGUGGACUCUCAUAGCAAACAUUAACUCCCCCAUCAGUUUUUUUCAGUGAGACAGAUGAAUGUGGAAGAAUAAUGACUAAAUGAGGGGAUUAAAGUGGUAGAAAAGAAUUACAGCAACAAAGAAGAGGCAGAAAAGAUAAGAGAAUGAGGCAGAUAAAUGAGUGAGACAGGUGAACCGAGCGUUGAGAGAGUGUGAGAAACAGAUGGAGCAAGAGCGGGAGAGUAAUUGCAGAUCAUCCACAAGGUGGGCCAGGAUUUUCCAGUAAAGUGGCAGAGGAAAGCCUUUCCUGCAUUACUAGGAGACACACACACACCACAUACACACUAUGUAGAUCAGGAUCUGUGGGACAGCUAAAGCCAAAGGUAUAGCUGUGUGUCAAAACUGGUCUCUUUCCACAGUCCCAGCUACUCAGGUGGGUAGAUACAUUUUUUUUCUGAGGGAAGGAAACCCACUAGUUGCUGCACUUUACACAACAAUGUGUUAUAUUUGUGGUUUAUAUGUUGUUUAAUGCUGCUUUAAUUUUAUAUGCUGCUGUUUUGAACUGCUAGCCAUUAAAGCUAAAUGUAUAACUUACUGUGCUGCUCCUCUGUCUCUUAGUGCGGCAGCCUAGAGGCCAUCUAUCGGGACAAAUACAGAACAGAACAGAAUUAACAGAGUUGAAAGGGAUCUUGGAGAAAUUGAUUAAGUUGUCCAGUUGAGUUUUGAAUGUAGAAUAGCAGAGUAAGAGCACAGAUACAUGUUUACAGAAAACUGAGGUCAUAUGCUUAAAUUUUUAAAAAGGUAAGCUAUUCCCCCUUGCCCAAAGGAAACCUAUUAAUAUAAUUGAAAACCAGUUAUUAUUGCUAAUCUACAAUUAUUUUAGAAAUCUUUCAGUAGUUCUUCAUCUACUUUAAAUCUACCCGUAUGUCCCUCAAAAAUUGUGAUCUUGAUUCUCUUUUCCAAAAUUGUUCAUUGUCCUGCUUCAUCACCUAUCAGGUUUAAUCUGUUUUAUAAAUAAUGAAGGGGCAAAAGAAGAAUGGGACGACAGAGAAUGAGAUGGCUGGAUAGAGUCACUGAAGCAGUAGGUGUGAAUUUAAAUGGACUCCAGAAGAUGGUAGAGGACAGGAAGACCUGGAGGAACAUUGUCCAUGGGAUCGCGACGGGUCGGACACGACUUUGCAAUUAACAACAACAAUGAAUAAUGUACUUUUAUUUGUGGAACAGUAAUUAAUGGAGUAAUUUAGCCUGUAGAGUGGAAUAAUAGCUUUUCCUUUUGUAAUAUGCACACAGCGUUUUGGUUAAAACUAUCAGGUUGUCAGCAAUAAAUUUCUAAGGGUAGCUUAUAGUUUAAAAAAGAAGGUUCUGACUUUUGAAUAGAUUAAUAAAAUACGACCCCUAGUGGACAGUGGUUGACAAUUAUGUUAAAUCUCAUGUGAAACAUAGAACCUCAGGUGAAAAAAGCUGGUCUAGUUGGGCCACUGAAUAAAGACAUAUGAAGGGGUUGGAAAAUACCGUAGCUGAAUGGUUUUCAUCUUUCUCUAUUACAGAAAGUUCUGUAGUAGAAGAGAAAGUUGUGGCUCAUGCCUGAACUGUGAAGUCCUUGAUGCUGUAUGAGCUUGGUUGUUUUCUAGUGUGAGCUGAUCAUGUUAUCUAGUUUGGUAAUGAAACAUCUGCAAGAAAAUAGCCAAGCUUAGAGAGCACCAAGGACCCCACAUUCUAUAUUGAAAUUGCUGUUUUCAGGAAGAAACAGUAAUGAAACUUUUACUAAUCUAAUGUUUCUGGAUGUGUGAGCAUAUUGUAAUACCUUUUGUCACUGUUUUGAGAAAAUAAACAAACUGAAAAUAAA